UUAUUUUACUUGAAGUUUGCUGCAAAAGAACUUAAUAGGAAUGCCAAGAAAUGUGAUAAAGAAGAAAAGGCUGAAAAGGCCAAGAUAAAACAGGCUAUUCAGAAAGGCAAUAAGGAAGCUGCAAGAAUACAUGCUGAAAAUGCAAUCCACCAGAAAAAUCAAGCAAUUGAUUUCUUAAGAAUGAGUGCUAGAGUUGGUGCUGUGGCAGUCAGAGGUCAAAAUGCAGUAACAAUGGGCAGGGUAAGAAAGUCCAUGUGAGGCAUAGUUAAGUCUGUGGGUGCUUCAUUGAGGAGUAUUCUGCCUUGAUGGACAAAUUCAAACACCAGUUUGAAACACUGGAUAUUCAAACACAACAAAUGGAAGAUAAAAUGAGUAGCUCUACAACCCUAAUAACACCACAAUAUGCUGCUUCAGGAAAUGGCAGAGCCUUGAUCUCAAUAUGCAACUACCACAGGGUCAGAUAGAUUCUCUUGGCACAAUUGUUGCUUCCAUGAAACAGG
rnacentral:lncRNA from 1 species